rnacentral:rRNA from 1 species
ACUCCUACGGGAGGCAGCAGUGGGGAAUUUUGCGCAAUGGGCGAAAGCCUGACGCAGCAACGCCGCGUGAGUGAUGAAGGCUUUCGGGUCGUAAAGCUCUGUCGAGGGGAAAGAAAUGUAUUGUGGCUAAUAUCCGCGAUACUUGACGGUACCCCUAAAGGAAGCACCGGCUAACUCCGUGCCAGCAGCCGCGGUAAUACGAGGGGUGCAAGCGUUGUUCGGAAUUAUUGGGCGUAAAGCGCGUGUAGGCGGUUUGUUAAGUCUGAUGUGAAAGCCCUGGGCUCAACCCAGGAAGUGCAUUGGAUACUGGCAGACUUGAAUACGGGAGAGGGUAGUGGAAUUCCUGGUGUAGGAGUGAAAUCCGUAGAUAUCAGGAGGAACACCGGUGGCGAAGGCGGCUGCCUGGACCGAUAUUGACGCUGAGACGCGAAAGCGUGGGUAGCAAACAGGAUUAGAUACCCUGGUAGUCCACGCCGUAAACGAUGAGAACUAGGUGUUGCGGGUAUUGACCCCUGCAGUGCCGCAGCUAACGCAUUAAGUUCUCCGCCUGGGAGGUACGGUCGCAAGACUAAAACUCAAAUGAAUUGACGG